rnacentral:rRNA from 1 species
UAGGGAAUCUUCGGCAAUGGGGGCAACCCUGACCGAGCAACGCCGCGUGAGUGAAGAAGGUUUUCGGAUCGUAAAGCUCUGUUGUAAGUCAAGAACGAGUGUGAGAGUGGAAAGUUCACACUGUGACGGUAGCUUACCAGAAAGGAACGGCUAACUACGUGCCAGCAGCCGCGGUAAUACGUAGGUCCCGAGCGUUGUCCGGAUUUAUUGGGCGUAAAGCGAGCGCAGGCGGUUUGAUAAGUCUGAAGUUAAAGGCUGUGGCUCAACCAUAGUUCGCUUUGGAAACUGUCAAACUUGAGUGCAGAAGGGGAGAGUGGAAUUCCAUGUGUAGCGGUGAAAUGCGUAGAUAUAUGGAGGAACACCGGUGGCGAAAGCGGCUCUCUGGUCUGUAACUGACGCUGAGGCUCGAAAGCGUGGGGAGCGAACAGGAUUAGAUACCCUGGUAGUCCACGCCGUAAACAAUGAGUGCUAGGUGUUGGAUCCUUUCCGGGAUUCAGUGCCGCAGCUAACGCAUUAAGCACUCCGCCUGGGGAGUACGACCGCAAGGUUG